CUUGUCUUGCCUCGCCCUGCCCUCCGCAGCUCGGCGUUGCGCCGUUCACAUGCCCGGCUCGGAUGCGCUCGGUGUCUGCUGCUUUGUCCGGUCCCGCACCGUGCGGGGCUCUUCUGCACCCUGCCAGGGUGAAAUCCUGGCCUCAAAGAAAUGAAUAGCAAAACUUCCAUCAACCUCACAGGAGCCAGGAUCUCGCCCCGUGUAUCAUUAAGAACUCCCCAGUGAUGGAGAUCCUGCCAAGGAUUCAUCUCCUGCAGCUGAAUCAGUCAGGAGGUUCUGGAAGAGCUCCACAACUUUAUACAAGAAACUGGUACUUUCUUCCCUAUUUGCAAGUGUUUCCUCCAAGCACAUUGGCCUUUCAGCAGCAAUGAUAAGUGACUGCAUCUGAGGGCAACUGUCCCGGGCAAGGAGCUCCUGGGCUGUUAAAUCCAGGCCUUUCUCAUACAGGCAGCAGUGCCAGUGCUGAAGAAGACAGGACAUCUGGAGCUGAAAACAAUUAUUCUUAUCUCCUACUGCUUUCAUAAUUACACGAAGUUCACAUUUGAAAAGCUGCAUUCCUUAUGGGGAUGUGUGCUUUUCAUUAACAGAGGGAUGCGCCACACCAGCAGACGCCAAAGCCUGAAGCUAGCAGAAGUCUGUUACAGAACCUCUGAAUCUUUAGCCAACUGGAAUCUCUGAAUCUCAGCUUUCUGGCUGAGCUAGGAGGAAGCCUGGUAACAAAGACAAGACAAUGUAAUUUCACCAUAACAGUGCUUUUUCUUAGAGGUUAUUGCAGUAGAAUCCAGUGAAUUCAGCUGAGAUUUAAGUCAGGGUAGGAAUGAGCUUUUCCCAUGGCUCUGCAGAGGGCUUUUAUUGGUUUCCCACCUGCACUGAGUACCCCAAGGAAUUCACAGGGCACAAAGAUGUGGAGGGAAAUGAAGACAAAGAGUUGCAAAAGUGACCUCCCCAAGCUCAUGUAGUGGGUGAUGUCAAGAUGCUUUGUAUGUCACUUCCCUGCUCUGCCAGUGGGUAUGGCACACACUGUUCCCUCUUCUAAUGCUCACUCUAAUGAAUAUGGAUCAUUUCAACCACUGUAAUUGACUCUGGCAGUAGACAGAAAAUGACGAGCUGUCAGCUACCCUAAACAGGCCAUCAGUUGGAUUACUUCCUUUAAAACGAGGCUCUAGACAGCUUGGGAACACUGGUGAGAAGGGAAAGAAUUAUGGGGAAAUCACCACUUGCCAGUAGUGUUCAGGGGCUGCUGAUACACAGAUAUACAGGUCAGGAGAAGCCUUCAGAUUCUCUUAGCUGACAUCCUGCAUAUCACAAAGCAUUCCAUUUUACAUUCAGCCCAAGAUCAGGAUUGUGAAACCAAACUUCUCUGCUCAUCUGAAGUAUAUUUUGAAGAAAAUUAUCUAGUCAAGAGAUGGAGAAGUUGUCUUACCAAUUCAUUGAAAUGUUACUGUUUAAAACCUAUGGUUUAUUUCUGGGUUUUGGGGGUUUGGGUUUUUUUUUCCUGAUUCCUUGAUGUUAAUUUUAACUCUUUAGCCUUUACCAUGUCUAAUGAGUCUUUUUUUGUCCUCCUCUACUACAAUCCUUGGAACUAAAUUUAUAUCUAACAUACUGCAUGUAGCUACACACACAGUUUUUCUCCUGCAGAACAGAUGAUUUCAUAUGGGAUUAGCAGUAAAUUACGUGUCUGAUCUACAGAGGAAUUAA